CGCAAGCCUGACGGAGCAACGCCGCGUGUGGGAAGAAGGCUCUUGGGCUGUCAACCACUUUUCUCAGGGAAGAAGGACUGACGGUACCUGAGGAAUAAGCCUCGGCUAACUCCGUGCCAGCAGCCGCGGUAAUACGGAGGAGGCAAGCGUUAUCCGGAAUUAUUGGGCGUAAAGCGUCCGCAGGGGGCGCAUCAAGUCUGCUGUUAAAGGUCGGAGCUAAACUCCGGUAGAGCAGUGGAAACUGGUGCGCUAGAGGGCGACAGGGGUAGAGGGAAUUCCCAGUGUAGCGGUGAAAUGUGUAGAUAUCGGGAAGAACACCAGUGGCGAAGGCGCUCUACUGGGCCGCGACUGACGCUGAGGGACGAAAGCUAGGGGAGCG
rnacentral:rRNA from 1 species